GGGAACUGAAACAUCUAAGUACCCGGAGGAAGAGAAAACAAUAGUGAUUCCGCAAGUAGUGGCGAGCGAACGCGGAUUAGCCCAAACCGUAACAGUUACGGCUGUUGCGGGGUUGUAGGACUGCACUGUGGACUAUACAAACGAACUUGAACGACUUGGGAAAGUCGGCCAUAGAGGGUGAAAGCCCCGUAAAGGUAAGGUUGUAUUACCUAGCAGUAUCCUGAGUAGGGCGGGACCGGAGAAAUCCCGUCUGAAUCCACCGGCACCAUCCGGUAAGGCUAAAUACUCCUGAGAGACCGAUAGUGAACCAGUACCGUGCGGGAAAGGCGAAAAGAACCCCG
rnacentral:rRNA from 1 species